rnacentral:rRNA from 1 species
UACGAAGGUCCCGAGCGUUGUUCGGAAUCACUGGGCGUAAGGGAGCGUAGGCGGCGCGGUAAGUCAGAUGUGAAAUCCCGGGGCUCAACCCCGGAACUGCAUCCGAUACUGCCGUGCUUGAGGGUUGGAGAGGUAGCUGGAAUUCUCGGUGUAGCAGUGAAAUGCGUAGAUAUCGAGAGGAACACUUGUGGCGAAAGCGAGCUACUGGACAACACCUGACGCUGAGGCUCGAAGGCCAGGGUAGCGAAAGGG